rnacentral:rRNA from 1 species
AGUGAACGCUGGCGGUAGGCCUAACACAUGCAAGUCGAACGGCAGCACAGUAAGAGCUUGCUCUUACGGGUGGCGAGUGGCGGACGGGUGAGGAAUACAUCGGCAUCUACUUUUUCGUGGGGGAUAACGUAGGGAAACUUACGCUAAUACCGCAUACGACCUACGGGUGAAAGCAGGGGAUCUUCGGACCUUGCGCGAUUGAAUGAGCCGAUGUCGGAUUAGCUAGUUGGCGGGGUAAAGGCCCACCAAGGCGACGAUCUGUAGCUGGUCUGAGAGGAUGAUCAGCCACACUGGAACUGAGACACGGCCCAGACUCCUACGGGAGGCAGCAGUGGGGAAUAUUGGACAAUGGGCGAAAGCCUGAUCCAGCAAUACCGCGUGGGUGAUGAAGGCCUUCGGGUUGUAAAGCCCUUUUGUUGGGAAAGAAAAGCAGCAGGUUAAUACCCCGCUGUUCUGACGGUACCCAAAGAAUAAGCACCGGCUAACUUCGUG